CCUACGGGAGGCAGCAGUGAGGAAUAUUGGUCAAUGGGCGCGAGUCUGAACCAGCCAAGUAGCGUGAAGGAUGACUGCCCUAUGGGUUGUAAACUUCUUUUAUAUGGGAAUAAAGUGCAGUAUGUAUACUGCUUUGCAUGUACCUUAUGAAUAAGGAUCGGCUAACUCCGUGCCAGCAGCCGCGGUAAU
rnacentral:rRNA from 1 species